UGCGCGCUGGGGGGUUUCCUAACUGGGGAGCGGGUGGGACUCGUCCGCGGCAGAACAGCCUCCAGAUGGGAACACGCCUCACCGCAAGCAUCUGUCAGCAGUCAUUACCAGGUGGCAGAUGGAUGGGGAAACAGUAGGAAGUAUCUGGAUCAUGGCCAUCAGCUACCUUCAAUCAUCUUUAGAUUCUUGUUCCAAUUCAUUAAACUGCGGUGCCUCCGACUCGAGUCAUACAGCGAGAUGCAGCCAAGAGGAUCAGAGUCCAUUUAUCCUGAAACUUGGCCGUUCCUGAGCUGGAAACUUCCACACCGCACCGUUUCUUAGGGCAGCCAGCAAGUCCUUAGGGAAACUAUGCAGAAGGAAUACAGUUUUCAUUUUCUUUCGGAAACCAGGAGGGGCGUGUCUAAUGUCAAUGCUGCAAAACUGUGGAGCUGGGAGUCCUUCAAUGGCGAUUUUUGAUUUUUGAAUCCAGCGUCAGCAGCCACGUGACUCGGGAUGAGGCUCUGAGACGUUACUUGUAGAGACUAUAUAAGUAAGGAUAUCAAUUGCUUAGCAUACAGGAGGGGUCAGUAACUGCUUUUUAGCAGGGAAGGCGGGGAACCGACAGGGGAGAAGAGGAAGUCAGAUCAUCAACAUGGAGGUUUCGCUGCUUAAGGCUCUACAGCCCUUGAGUCAUUUCUAUGUCAGCCGUUCUCAAAGGGUGACCUUUGGAAGCCGUUGCAUUUUUGGUUGUUGCAACGACCAGAGCUUUCUGAUACGUAGCGCACAGGAGGCAUCCUGCAGGGUGAGAUUCUCAACGGGAAUUGCUUCAUAUGACAAAAUACAUCCUGCCGGACAUUCACAGGGGUGGAAAAACCUAUUUAUGGUUAUCUGAGCCUAGGCUGUAACUUGACUUUAUGUGUAAAACACAGGCUCGUUGGUU